rnacentral:rRNA from 1 species
GACGAACGCUGGCGGCGUGCUUAACACAUGCAAGUCGAACGAAGUGGCGAACGGGUGAGUAACGCGUAAUCAACCUGCCCUUCAGAGGGGGACAACAGUUGGAAAAGACUGCUAAUACCGCCUACUGAGUGAGGGGAUUGCGUCUGAUUAGCUAGUUGGAGGGGUAACGGCCCACCAAGGCGAUGAUCAGUAGCCGGUCUUGGAGGAUGAACGGCCACAUUGGGAUGGAGACACGGCCCAGACUCCUACGGGAGGCAGCAGUGGGGAAUCUUCCGCAAUGGACGAAAGUCUGACGAAGCAACGCCGCGUGAGUGAUGACGGCCUUCGGGUUGUAAAGCUCUGUUAAUCGGGACGCGGUACCGGAAUAGAAAGCCACGGCUAACUACGUGCCAGCAGCCGCGGUAAUUC